UUUGAAAUCUGGCGGUGUUUUUACUGUCCGAGUUGUAAGCUAGAGAAGUGCAGCCUGUGYUGAACCGUGUAUAAGUCUUCUGGAAUGGGGCAUCWUAGAGGGUGAGAAACCCGUYUUUGACACGGAGUACCAGUACAUUGUGGUUGUGUGCUCAACGAGUCGAGUUGUUUGGGAAUGCAGCUCUAAAUGGGUGGUAAAUUCCAUYUAAAGCUAWAUAUUGGCGAGAGACCGAUAGCGAACAAGUACCGUGAGGGAAAGAUGAAAAGAACUUUGGAAAGAGAGUUAAAAAGUAUGUGAAAUUGUUGAAAGGGAAACAUUUGAAGUCAGAGAUGUUGACUGGGGAUCAACUUGGGAAAAUAGCUGAAUGUAAUUCCUGGUUAAUGGGCCAACAUCAGUUUUUGAUUGCUAGAGAAAGGCCAAGGGAAUGUGGCACCUAUUGGGUGUGUUAUAGCUCUUGGUUGUAUGUAGUGGUUAGGACUGAGGAAAGCAGCGUGCCUUAUGGAGGGGUUUCGACCACAUUCACGCUCAGGAUGUUGGCAAUAAUGGCUUUAAAUGACCCGUCUUGAAACACGGACCAAGGAGUCUAACAUGCAUGCGAGUAUUUGGGUGGAAAACCCCGAUGCGCAAUGAAAGUGAAAGUUGAGAACCCUACUGUUGGGGGGCAUCGACGCCCGGACCAGAACUAUUGGGACGGAUCUGCGGUAGAGCAUGUAUGUUGGGACCCGAAAGAUGGUGAACUAUGCCUGAAUAGGGUGAAGCCAGAGGAAACUCUGGUGGAGGCUCGUAGCGAUUCUGACGUGCAAAUCGAU
rnacentral:rRNA from 1 species